GCUGUUUAAAAGACAAUAAAAAAAUUCUCGAUCUCUUUUUGUGUUACUGUUUCUCUCUAUUUCAUUCUGAGACAGAGACUACCUUUUUCUUUCUUCUACUUUUUUUCUGGAUAUCUGAAGGAUAUCUCCUGGAUCAGUCUCUCCAAUGAUCGUACUCGUGAGAGGAGGAUUGAACUGAAUCGGAUCAUUGUAGUUUAGGAACGAGAUC
rnacentral:lncRNA from 1 species